rnacentral:rRNA from 1 species
AUGAACGCUAGCGGCAGGCUUAACACAUGCAAGUCGAGGGGUAGAGGAAGCUUGCUUCCUUGAGACCGCGCACGGGUGCGUAACGCGUAUACAAUCUACCUUUUACAGAGGGAUAGCCCAGAGAAAUUUGGAUUAAUACCUCAUAGUAUAGCAGUUUCGCAUGAAACCACUAUUAAAGUCACAACGGUGAAAGAUGAGCAUGCGUCCCAUUAGCUAGUUGGUAAGGUAACGGCUUACCAAGGCAACGAUGGGUAGGGGUCCUGAGAGGGAGAUCCCCCCACACUGGUACUGAGACACGGACCAGACUCCUACGGGAGGCAGCAGUGAGGAAUAUUGGACAAUGGGCGCAAGCCUGAUCCAGCCAUGCCGCGUGCAGGAUGACGGUCCUAUGGAUUGUAAACUGCUUUUAUACAGGAAGAAACACUACUUCGUGAAGUAGCUUGACGGUACUGUAAGAAUAAGGAUCGGCUAACUCCGUG